rnacentral:misc_RNA from 1 species
CUUGNGCGAGAGUAGUACUAGGAUGGGUGACCCCCUGGGAAGUCCUCGUGUUGCACCCCCCCUUCUUUUUGCAUCUUUUUCGCCUUUUUGGGGGAAGGUGGUGAAAGGAAACGCGCGUACGAGAGAACGUGGCUUAGUGAACGCGCGGCACCGACACGUGGGAAAGUAGGCACAAAAUCGGACAAUCCUAGCGGUUGGGAAUAUAGGAGUAAAAAGGGAGAACCCUA